rnacentral:rRNA from 1 species
UACGUAGGGGGCUAGCGUUGUCCGGAUUUAUUGGGCGUAAAGAGCGUGUAGGCGGCCAAGUAGGUCCGGUGUGAAAACUCGAGGCUUAACCUCGAGAUGUCAUCGGAAACCAUUUGGCUAGAGUCCGGAAGAGGAAAGUGGAAUUCCUGGUGUAGCGGUGAAAUGCGCAGAUAUCAGGAAGAACACCGGUGGCGAAGGCGCUCUGCUAGGCCGCAACUGACACUGAGGGACGAAAGCUAGGGGAGCGAAUGGG